GCGACGCGCCCUGCGUGAACACGGGGUUUGAAAUAUGCAGAGACUCGGCUAAGCUAGACGAGAAAGAGAGUUCAUCUGAUUUUGUUCUGCACUACUUCCUGUCACACACACAAGACCCAUGUCAGCGGCUAUGGCGAAUGAUACCAGUUUUGGCUGGCUUCGGCAAGCGCGUACGCUAAAUUGGAUACGAUACAGAGAAGAUUAGCAUGGCCCCUGCGCAAGGAUGACACGCGAAUAAUACCGCGUGGAUGACGACGUGGAAUAUGGACACAAAUCCCAGCAACAGAUGCUGUGGUGUAGAUGUCAUGGAAGGUCCUCUUCCCCCUCUCCAAGGCAGAACUUCGAGCUCCAUGACCUGAUGACACGAGCUCCUUCAUUCUUUAAGUCUUAAAAUUGGACAGCUUAUGCUUACAUGGGAUGACCCAAAUAUAUUCUGCCAGCAAAAGUAGGUGGAGGAAGAAGGACCCCAAAACUGGCAGCUUAAUAUCAGAACACUGUCAGCCCUACAGCAGCAGACACUGCAGUCACUGGUACAGCUCUUUGUGGACCUUCACUAGUUGUGCACAUCACCAGUCACUGAGCUGCUGCAGAAUGACUUACAUUGACCCGAUGUUAUCCAAUGCUGGAAAACAAUUUCCAGUAGUGAAUUCUCGAAGGAUCCAAACCUCUUCCUUCUUAUUUGAUGAUUGAAACAUCAGCUUGCAACCUCGUGCACAGCGAGGAAUCGGACAAGAUUUUGCAUCAGAAGAAAUAUCCAAAGUGGUGGGGAGCAUCAUGACCAGCCUUGGAAGAUCUGUGUUAUUGGCUUAAAUUGAACAUUUUCCUUCACUCUUACCACAGCAGCAACCAUCCAGGCAAAUACUGUAAUAAAAUGGCACAAACUUGUAUCAUAUUUCUCGCAGUUCUGAUUUUGGGGUCAUAACAUCCAGCUCUCAAAUAGCUGAAUUAAAGCAGCAGAGGGUUCAUUAAUCACUUUUGCUGAAAGUGUUUUGCAGAAGUGACAGCAACUGGACUCCUAAGAACGAUUACAGUUUCAGUGAAUGCCUUGCAUCAUCAGAGGCUUCAGCUCAUUUUAAAUAUCUGCUUGUUCUAUUGUUUUGUCAUCGAGCAGGGUUAGAAGCUUGUUUGCCUGGCACUAUGAUGUGUAUGUAUUAUUGUAGGGUCUACCUUACAAUAUAAAGUGGCUUGAGGUGACUGUUGUGAUUUGGUGCCAGAUAAAUAACUUUGAAUUGAAUUAAUCUGUAUUCAGAUAUUUAUGUACCCAGAAAAUGGAGAAAGUAACUGUAUAGUUGUAACAUUGAAGAUUCUCUGCAACAUCUGUGCAGGAAGCAAACUUGAGAUGGUUGGUGUUAAACGCAACAAUAUCCUGCUGUUCACCCGGUUAGCUGUAACUAUACUGAUAAUGAAAUCACUGGUGUAUUUUUACACCUUUAGAUACUGAUUUACACUGGCUCUGCAGGUUUGGUGUAUCUGUAGAGUAUCAGUGGUUUACACAUGGAUUUCUUUUGAAUAAACCAUAAUUGCUAACAGACAUAUGUAAUGUAGGUAUUUGGCACCAGUACAGAUCAUCUUACUGUGAUAUCAACCAGAUAUGAAUAGAUUAUAGAGAACUGGCUUCUUUAUUUACACGGAAUUGAAAGGGGGGGUAAAGAUGGGACCACAUUCAGGUUGGCUCAAUCUUCACUUUAAGAAAAAGGGGGGAAAAAAUGAAUAUAAAUAUAUAAAAAAAAGAUGUGCUCCUGGUAUUAAAUUACAAAUGUGUACAUCCUCUCAGUAUCACAUUCCUAUCUGUUGUUUUUGUUUGGUUUUCAGUCAAUACAGAAAUAUGAAAUGACAACAUGACCUAAAUAAACUAAAUUCAGACAUGUGA